rnacentral:rRNA from 1 species
AGUGAACGCUGGCGGUAGGCCUAACACAUGCAAGUCGAGCGACAGCACAGUAAGCGCUUUCUCUUACGGGUAGCGAGUGACGGACGGGUGAGAAAUACAUCGGCAUCUACUUUUUCUUGGGGAAUAUCGUGGGGAAACUUACGCUAAUACCUCAUACGACCUACGGCAUAAAUCAGUAGUUCUUCGGACCUUUCCCGAUUCAUUGAGCCGACGUCGGAUUAGCUAGUUGGCUUGGUAAAGGCUCACCAAGGCAACGAUGCGUAGCUGGUCUGAGAGGAUGAUCAGCCACACUGGAACUGAGACACGGUCCAGACUCCUACGGGAGGCAGCAGUAGGGAAUAUUCGGCAAUGGGCGGAAGCCUGAUGCAGCCACGCCGCGUGGGUGAAGAAGGUCUUCGGGUUGUAAAACUCUUUUAUUGGGGAAGAAAAAAAGUGUGUGUAACUCCCCACGUUUUGACGGUACCCAAAGAGUAAGCAACGGCUAACUUCGUG